AUGCUCCCCUGCCGCUGCUUGGUAGCGCCGUUGCCGCUACUGGUUUUUGCUGCUGUUGCAUCCUGUCCAUGGCAACCCAGCUUCAGUCGUCAACCUGAGGUGCUCUGGGCUCAAUGCUCGAAAAAGGUUUACCUGACUAUCUCAGUCCCAGAUUCAGAAGAUGUUGUGAUCAAGACUGAACCUCAGGGCAUCUUUAGCUUCUCAGCUGUUGCUCAUGGGGAAUCUUUUAGCUUGGCUUUGGAGCUAUUCGAUUCCGUACUGCCUGAGGUAAGUAUCUGUGGUCGUCAGUUCUACAUUCUAAUACAGGGCUGGUUUCAGUUGAUGUUAAUUUCGGUUCAGUUUUUACCUCUGGGUUCUUGCUUGGAUACAUGUUAG
rnacentral:rRNA from 1 species